rnacentral:rRNA from 1 species
AUUGAACGCUGGCGGCAGGCCUAACACAUGCAAGUCGAACGGUAACAGGAAGAAGCUUGCUUCUUUGCUGACGAGUGGCGGACGGGUGAGUAAUGUCUGGGAAACUGCCUGAUGGAGGGGGAUAACUACUGGAAACGGUAGUUAAUACCGCAUAACGUCGCAAGACCAAAGAGGGGGACCUUCGGGCCUCUUGCCAUCGGAUGUGCCCAGAUGGGAUUAGCUAGUAGGUGGGGUAACGGCUCACCUAGGCGACGAUCCCUAGCUGGUCUGAGAGGAUGACCACCCACACUUGAACUCAGACACAGUCCAGACUCCUACGAGAGGCAGCAUUGGUUAAUAUUACACAAUGGGCGCAAGCCUGAUGCAGCCAUGCCGCGUGUAUGAAGAAGGCCUUCGGGUUGUAAAGUACUUUCAGCGGGGAGGAAGGGAGUAAAGUUAAUACCUUUGCUCAUUGACGUUACCCGCAGAAGAAGCACCGGCUAACUCCGUG